rnacentral:lncRNA from 1 species
UGGCCGGCCGCCCGGGCCCUCGAUCGCAGCCAGUCACAGAUGCCGAUGGGAACGAGCCUCCCCGCGGCUGCUAUUUGACUUCGCAGGCUUCCAGCUGCGCGGCGGAGCGACGUCACCCUGUGCCAGUGGUGGCUCGCGGCGGCGCCCCGCCCUCCCGAGGUUAGCUCCCCAGCCAAAGAGGGGGCGCGCUUGCGCGGUGGGUGGGGCCGCGAGACUUGGUACCUAGCCAGCGGGCGGAGCGCGGAGGGGGUUUCGCUUCGGGCUAAGGGACUGUAGUUGUGACAGCCAGGAAACCGAGAACGGAAUGCCAAUACUGCUUAGGCUUAGAGUUUGAAAGGCAUCUGAUUUCACUGCCAUGUCUUUGAACAGCAGUGCACAGUGCAGUCUUCUUCGUGGCUGAACAGAGCUAAGGUCUUGCUAUGUUGCCUAGACUGGUUUUGAACUCCUGGGCUGAAGCAAUCCUCCCACUUCGGCCUCUCAAAGUGCUGGGAUAUCAGACAUGAGCCACCUGCCAUGCUUGGCCUAUAAUCAUGAAAAGAUCAACCCCAAGAAAGAAAAGGAAACAUGGAAGGACCUGGACUGGAGUCACGCCAGUACAAGGAGGAUACUGGCAAAGAUGAGGCUAGUCAAGUGGAGCAGUGGGAGUGAAGAUGGAAUAAAGAAAUCCAUAACUGGUUGUGAUUAAGUAGUUGUAAACACCAACUGCACUCAGACCAACCCAUAUAUAUAUUUUUAAUUGUAAGCAUAGUAUAUAUAAAACUUCAAUUCCUGCUUUUUUUUACCUAACAUUAUAUCAUAUGCAUUUUCCAUACUGUUUCACAAUUCCUUGUAUUCGUAAUUGUUUAAUCCUGCAAAAUAAUGCUUCGAAUGAACAUAUGAUCAUUUCCUUAAGUAUUCCCCUACUAUUAGAAGUGAAGUUUCUUCCAGCAUUUUUCUCUUUGCUGUGAUGAAUAUUUUUAAGUAUAGAGAUUUUUCAGUUUGGUUAUGAGUUUUUGAAAAUCUACUUUACCAAAAACAAAGAAAACCCAUGUCUUUCUUUAGUACCUUUGCCAAGAUAUUACUUUUACUUGACAUUCAACAAGUAUAGGAUGAAAGUACACAAGUCUGCAAGGGACCUUGGAAGUAACUUGUUUCUGUCUAAUUUCUAUAAAAUUUCCAGGAGAUAGUCAUACAGCUUUAAUUUGAUCGCAUCCACUAGUUUUGGCAUUGGUAUUGCCAUAUUGAUUAUGGACACAUAAAACUGUAACUCCUGGAGCCAACCUCUCAGGCUUUCCUACAUGAAACCAAUGCCACCAUCCCACCCGCACUCUAGCACCUUCUAUCCACUGAUUUUAGUCAUUGACUUGCUCUCUUCCUCUUUCUGUUUGUUGUCUUCCAGUUUGUCUCUUUCAUUCCUCCCCUCCCUUCUCUAUCCUGCUCUCUGACCCAAGAGGCUGACCUGUAUGAACCACAUCAGUGAUUGGCUGGUGGGGCCCCCCAGCAAAGAGGAUGGAGUGAAGUGAGGGUAUUUACUUGCUUAAUUGCCUCCAGGCUGGGUCACUCACAGCUGGCCAUGUCCUUCCAUCAAAGAUCAGAGCUCUCCUCAAGGUAGCCCUCUCCACAAACUUUCUUGAGUUUCUCUUUCUGGGUUUUGUUAACCAUUUUCUCAACUUGUCCCUUCAUGCCUAGAGGUAAUAGCAGGUGGGGAAUGCUGUGCUAUUCCAUUUGGUUUUCCUGCACCCUUCCCAUGUUUGUAUGUAGUCCCUUUCAUCAAAGUACUGGGACUGUCCUAAUUCGAAUGUGCCAUCUUUUUUGUUUCCUGCUAAGAACUGUUCAACUCACUCUGGAUACACUCAAUAAAUAUAACUCAGACUGUCACAAUAUUGAAGUUGUCACUAUGUGCUUUGUUGAUAUCACUGGUCCAGAAAAUAAUGACAUGGCUCACUCUGCUCACCUCUUUAGUUUCCAUUUCAGCAUUGCUCACUCCCUUCACAAUUCCCCGUCAGAAUGGGAAAAAACUUCACUAAUAAACUUAGAGAUAGAGAGUAGAGUUCAUCCUCAAUGGCUUAUGGACCAAAAGAGGUUUUUUGUGUGUUCGUUUUUGUUUUUCUUUUUUUCUUUAAAGUUCAG